AAAAGGGACUUUUUGUCGUUUUUAUCAACUAACAUUGAUGGUAUUAAUUGGUCUUAAAGACAAUUACUAUGCUAAUACAGAUAAGAUAAACGUGAAAUCUUAUUGAGGAAAUCAAGAGCUAGAGCUACAUAAGAAUGAUAGGUAGGAACAGCACAAACGACGAAAAGCAAUUCAAUACAGAUGAAUCCAAUAUGUUAAACCUAAAUUUAGCAAUAAAUUAUAAUUUUGAUAGGGCUUGAUGUACUUAAUUGUCUUGCUUGACUCGUAAAGUAAAGAACUUGUAUUUUAAAAUCAGUAACUGAAAUAGCUGUGUUUUUUCUUUAGCACACAGUGGACGGAUUAUUGUUCAUUACACACCGAUGAUCCUUUUUCUUCCCAUUCUGUUGUUUAUAAAUUCUAUAUAAAGGUUCUUGUGGAGCUGGGCUUUUGAAAAAUCGAGGAACUUUUUACCUCAAAACACAAUGUAUAAAUUAAUCUACUCUAACAGGUGAAACUACCCUUUGUAUAUUCUUUACGCAAUCCAAAAAUUACAGCUACGUAAGGUACACUCUUUCUUACCCUGUGUCCUCAAAAAAAACAUUACAGCCUCUCUUACAGACUCUAGUUGGAAGGUUCGGAAGAAAUCAAGUCUGUAAGGCAAGGCAAUAAAUCUGAUUUAAAAGAUGUUUUUUCCUUGAUCAGAACAAAUUUCAUGAUUUUGCACAACUUGAGAUUUUCUCAGUGAUCGAUUUAAUCGAGACUUGCCCUGGUAAUAGAGAAUUUCUCGAAAUUUUGGGGUGAGCCACCUCCUAGACUCCACAAGAGUGGUUUUGCCGAUUCUCCAUCAGAAAGAGAAGCAUUGGGGUACAUUUUCAUAUCCAAAGAAAUGAUAUAAAACUUUUCUUCUGUUUUGUGUUAAGACUGACCGGCCUUUCCCCUUCUAUGGAACCUUUGCUGCAACGAAAAGUGAUUUCAGGUGAGACCUUUCUUCAAGCAGUCAUUGCCAUCCGGCUUGUUGUUAUGUAGCCGGGCCGGGCCCACUUCAUCCUCACAUGAAAGUUUACUAUUAACCAACCGCGCUUCGAAAGUUCUAUUUCCAUAGGAACAAAUCAAAGAGGUUCCGCAUAUGUUUAAAUUUUGAAAGCUGACAACUGAGGCAUGAAUUUCUACUAUUAUAUUCACCAUCAAUAGAGCCACAAGUCUGCUAUAGGUGUAUUUAAUAGAGUAUUCAUAACAGCGAUAUUCUUGUUAAAAAUUUAUCACCUCAACAAGAUAUUGUCGUCUUCAUGAUUUUUCAUUGCCAAGCUCGUCAACUUGAAAAUUAAAGUUCGCGAAUUCAAGAGGAAUCGAUAAAAUAGCUGACGUCUAACAAAAGCUCUUUCAUUGAAUUUCAUUCAAAGAACUUAGGCCUGUGAAAAUGGGCUUUGAGUUCUCGGGCGCAAAGAAAACACCGUAGCAAGGAUGAAGUCGAGCUGAGUUGAAUACUGAUUCAGUCAUUAGGAAAUGGCGAUUGAUUUUUACAGAGCUGCACGAGAAGGACACUCGGAUACCCUGCGCGUCAUUACGAAGAAAGAUGCAAACAAAGCAGCCGAUGAUGGAAUGACCCCUGUGCAUUGGGCAGCUAGUUAUGGCAACUUGGAAGGGCUAAGGAUACUCAUGCGAAAGGGGGGUGAUCCUGACAAGCCAAACAAAGAUGGAAUGACCGCAGUGCAUCUUGCAGCGAGCUCAGGCCAACUACCAUGCCUCGUGUUCCUAACCAACUUUGGGGCGAACAUCUACGCUGUUGACGAUAAUGGCAAUAAUCCUCUUCAAGAGGCCUCAAAUCGAGGUCGCAUUGAAUGCAUACGUCACUUGCAGAAUCUAAUAACUCACCAAAUGACGCUGGAUAGGGCGCGUAUAGAGAAAAUUCAAAUAAAGGCGAAACGAGAGGCCGAACACCGGAUACGGGAGAAAUCGCGCGUUAGGAGGAAACUAGACAGGGAAUGGGAGAAGAAAGUAGAGAAACAGCGGCGGUCUGCGAUGGCUGCCGAAAUCAAAUUAAAAAGGAAAGGCCAACAGAAUCAACAUGAUUUCAUACAAUACCGAAAAGACUCUGACUCUUUGUCAGCAUCAGAAACUGAUUCGUUGGAUCGAAAAAAGCUGUUCUCAGAACUAAUCGGCAUACGUUCAGAUACCGAAAGCACGUACUCAAGUCCGCGGAGCAAAAUGACUUCUCCUGAUGAACCGGAUGAGUUGACCUAUUCGAUGACAAGUUUGAACACGGAUCCUGGACAUUACGGAUUGCCAAGCAACGGCCAUGCUACGGCAAAUGGAUAUGUUUCCCAGAUUUCGGAAGAUAUUGUGUUUGGGAAAAGAGAGCCCGGAGAUCUUGAUUCCACGUACCCUUUUAUAAAAAAGAAUGGCAAUGCCAAAAGUAACGGAAAAGCCAACGGUACAACACCGCGAAGAAACGGAGGUUUACACAGCAACGGGAAAGAUCGCUUUGCCGCCUCUUAUAACUUACCACCGCGUCAUUAUAUACGGCGCAGGCCAGGGAAUAACAACCCUGCCAACUCAAACUUUUCUUCGCUCGCAACGUUCUUGAACUCUCUAGCACUUGAUGAAUUUAGAGAGCUCUUUGUCAAAGAGAAAAUUGAUCUUCGUGCGGUUACAUUGUGCAAUGAAAGAGAUUUGAAAGAAAUUGGCCUACCUUUAGGGCCUAGAAAGAAAAUAUUAGAUGCAAUUCAGCGAAGAAAUGAAUUAAUGAGCGAUCCUGCAGAUGAUCUUGAAGAGACUCUCGCUUAGCUGCGAAAGGAAAUAUAGAGAAGCAUACUUGAGCAAAUAAAUGCAUUUUUAGACCUUAUUACAAUGUAUUUACUAGUGAAGUCGUAGGAAAUCAUAGGCUGGGGCCUGGCCUCGGUGAAAAAUCUGGCGCGGAAGCGCAUUGAGUUUGAAGGUCAGUGAAAACCAGGUUUUGACCAGACAUUUGAAGAGCUUUGGAAUGAUACGUGUUCUAUUUCCUGAAAGAAAAUUUGGAAUCGAACAGUUCUUCAUAGUGUCAUUGCUGUUAGGAGAUUUGUUAGGUUGAAGUCAACAUUCUGUCUUUAGUAAACGGAUUUCUACAAGUGCGCUUAGGUUAUUUGGUUCAUGAAACCUGCAGGCAAGAAUGAACCCAACGCGCCUUUCGGCAUCGAAGAAGCAUCUUCGAAAUGACAGAUAACUUUGUAUUAUAAUAUUUGAAUUUAUAACAGUGAAUUGUAUUGCGAAAAAUAAACCCAAGGCACUGUAAUCUUGUAUUUGCACUUUUGACCAGGUUUCAUAGUAGCAGUUUUGUACAGGUAUCAGUAUGACGUAAUCAAGGCAAUGUCCAUCGACUCCUUCCUGAUUGUAAAAAAUUCUGCCAGGUUCUCAACAAUGUCAUUGUACAGUGGUUUUUACAAUCGAAACCGUCAGAUUGAAAUCAUUUUCUGUCUAGAAAUGCGGGUUUUUAUAUAUCACAUAGAUGAAAUUCGGAGUAGCAAAUUAAAACCUUCCCCGGCGUCUCCAGUCUCAUUCAGCCGUUUACCAAAGCUCACCCGGAAAACUGACGAAAAAGGGUUGGUUUUUUCCUUUAACCCAGGACAGUGAAACUUAGAGAAGAAGAACUUUUGGGAAUUCAGAAAGAGCACCACCCCAAAUUUGAUUCAGUACAGCAUUUAGAAGAAAAGAAGCAUUUUGCAUGUAAUACCAUUUACAACUUAUUAGAAAUAAAGUUUCACACCAAAGUCAGACGGAAGGGGUCUUUUUAAGAUCUAUCGGAUGUACUUGGGUACACCUCUUAGUGAGGGUAGACACGUCGGGGAACCUUCCUGCUCUAUACAUCAAAAACAUGUACAGCUCUGCUUUUACAGCAUCGACUACUUUGUGACAAACCCGUUAACAGUCAUUUUCAGUGGAAAUAGGGGUCGUAACUUUUAUGUGGAUUGAGUUAUAUUGCUCAAGAAGGUUCGUUUCAUUUAUUGCAUGAUUUUUGUGUAAAACAAACCACGUGUCAUUAGGUUUUGGUUUUCUGCCAACUGACAAAACUAAAAACACGAAUUUUGCGACAGCUGAUAGUUCCUUGCUUAUAAACUGUCCACGAAGAUGUGUGUCUCCAAUCAAAUGGUCGAUUGUCUUUAGAUUGAAAUUUUUUUAUUACAAGCCACCAGCUACUGCCAGAUUUCAACCGUUAUUCAAAAUAAUAUUUUCUAACUAUCCUUACGCGUCUUGCUCUUUGAGAACGGAUGUGCAAUGCUAAUCUAUUCUAUAUUUCAAAGUGAUUUAAACCGACACUUUUAAUGAUGGGGUAAUACACCUGUUCUUUCAGCUUGGUACAACUUCAAGUUGGUGAAAUUCUCAAUGUAUUGUAACAAGUCUCAGAAAUUGUGGCAGGGGUAAGGGAAUGCCAUUAAGGGUGCACCCUUUAAGGGAACAAAUUCAUUCUCCUAUAUACAUAUCACCGUCACACCAUUUUAAAGAUAAUUUUUCUUUUCAUAGAUAUUAAAACAUCAAAUCCCAAGCCAAUAGGUUAUCCAUUUUAAGAAGACUCGGUUGGGCCAUGGUUCGAGAAGAGUGAUAGGGGUUGCCCCGAACAUGGUCCUGAAAUUGUAAUCAUAAUCUUAUCAAAAGAAUCAUCAAAACUCAAAUAUAUGGAAAAAGACUUCUUUUAUUGCGAGGAUUCAUACUUACAAAAGCUUUAGAAACAAGGGAGGGGUUGCAAUCCCUACCAAUGCCUAUCUUUGAAAAACAAGCAGGUUUUAAAGGCAGUCUGUCUCAAAUGGUUUGCAAAGAUUUGCCAUGGCUGUGAAAAAUUACACACGAAUGACUUAUAAAUAAAAAGAGCAAACCAAAGUGAGAGAUCCAUUACAACAGUGGGGGUCACACAGCCUUUUUUCACAAUUGAUACUUAGCAUAUUGGAAAACCCUGUUAGCUUACAAGAAGUAUCAAGUCAAACCUGAAGAAAUAAUUUCAAUCUUAGAAGCAUGCGAGGUGUAUUCAAAAAGUUAAUAAAAUAUAUAUUGUGUUUCUAUAUGAUUAUAUCAAGUCACAAAUAAUGAUCAUCAAAUCAAAGUAUCGAUCAGUCAUUAUAAAGUAUCCAAAUGAUUCUCCGCAAAAGCUUUAUAAAGCAGUUUAUUGGCUCUUGGUCUUUUAAUUUUGAAUGAUUCAAAAAGAUUUAUUUGAGACUCCUUUAAUCAGCCAAUAUUCAAUUUCAGCAUUUAACAAGGCAAGCAGGCAAAACCAGCAUGAAAGCUUCACAGGGGACAAAGUUUUUUCACAGAGAACCAAAAAAAUGGUUUCCAGAAACAGACAAGCACCAUACUUGAACCAGCUAUGGCUGAAUAAGGAUCCUGAAGAAAGAUAAAAUGAUCUGGAUCACAAUAAAUAUCAGCAAUGAUCAAACUUCUUGAAAAAAAAAUUACUUUUUUGUCCUGAAUGGUUGCUGUCUUAACACUUGGUGUUACAUUUGAUUUUAAUUGGUGUUCUUUAACUUUUCCGACCUUGUUUUACUUUAGGUAAAAGUUUUGGUAUAAAAAACUAUCGGCUAUGUUACCUCAAAUCAUUUUCUGUCCUAGAAAAACACAUUUUUGCCUCGCUUGAUAUAAAUUAUAACAGUCUUGUAUUAGGAUGCAUUACCUUAACAAAAACUGAGCUGAAUAGUACUUUGUUGACAGAAUGGGUAAGCUAUAUAAACAAAUUAAAGAUCUCCUUUAGAGAAUAGAAAAGUAGUGAUUUUUGUUAAUAGUUGCCUGGCAAAUUCAACUUAGAAGAAAAACACUCAUUUAUCUUCAGUCAAACACCACAUUAAAAACAGUAGGUAUGGAUUGGGACAAUGUACACUGGAAAUUGUGAUGAGAAAAAGCAAGAUCUGUUGGAUCUCAUCUAUGAUAGUAGUCGCCAAAUGCAUGGUGUUGAAAAAAAUGUAUUUCCUUUAAGAGAAUAACUAUAAUACUAACUUGAAAUAAAAUUUAAAAAUUUCUAAUCUGGAACUGGGAACAUGGAUUCCACUGAAAAAGUAGUUGUCUUGUUGAGUAAGAGUACAGAAAAAUUUUACUUAAUGUUCUUUUCUCUACCUUUACCAAACAUGGCUCACAGACUCUGAAAACUUUUUACCACCUGAUUAUUUACACUAAUGAAUGCUUUUUUGUAAAUACCAUAGGCUUAGACUUAAUUUUACGAAACUGUGCAUUGUUAUAAAAUUGGACCUGGGAAUCUGUAAAUUUUAUGCAACUAUAUGCAAACACAUCAAUUUACAUAACUUGUUUCGAAAUUCCAAUUUAUAAGCUGAUUGCAUAUCAAACUUUAAGGCAUUACAGAAAGAAGGACAUAAUUACCAGUCACAACUCAGUCACAAGAGCCAUCCGCCCAGCCAUCUCUCCAUCUUUCAAAGACUUUUGAACAAUCAAAUUCUUUUUUGCCUAGUCUUCUGUUUACUUCAUUGUGAUAAUCACAAAACCAGAGAGACAAUGCUUUAUUACUUGAAGUAUCUGGGGUAUCUGUUUUCAGCCUAAAAAAUUUCAAUAAUUUAUUAGAUUUAAUAUCUGCAAAUAUUAUUUUACUUGCUAACUUGAGGCUUUCUGACAACAAUUUUUGAUAAUAAGUGAUGGUGAAUUGAUAACACCAGGAAAGGUUUAUAGCAAUUAGUGAAGGAAGAAAACAACUUCAAUUUACUUGUGAAAAUGCUAUCAUGGUUGAUUCAAGCAUACUAUGAUGACCUUUCAAAAAUAUUCUUUUCAAAAUUAGGAUAAUCAUGACCAGUAAAAAGUAAAUGACUAUUCAGUAGAUAGUGACAAUCUCACCUUUCUCUUAAAUGAUAUGAACACCAUUCACAUGGGUAGAACUUGGAGAAAAUCUUUAUAAAAUCAGUCAUCUCCCUUUGUUGCUUACUUGUUGGUGUUUCUGGGUAAUAGGCAGCCAUAGUGUGCAAAAAUCCCCAUGUAUUACGGCCUAAUUCACCUUUAUCCAAAGGACAAUCUGGUCCACUAGCUAAUGGUUUUUGCUUAGGAGGUUCUUUAUGUGUAUCUUUGACAGGUGUAUCCAACUAAAAUGAAAAGAAAUUAGGUGCAUUCAACAACAUGAAAUUUUCAAUAUUAGAUGAAUUUCAACAUGAAGGUUUUAAAUCUUAUGUUCUUCUUGAAGAAGAAGAUAAGGAGAUGCAAAAUCAUUGGGUUAAUUCAAAACUAAUUACAUAACCAAUUAGUUGGCCUAGAUAAAGUUACAUAACAUGCCCGAUUACAAGGUAAUAUUGAGAAGUAGUCAUAGUAACAGUUAAAGCUCUUGCAUUAUUAGAUAGAUCAAGCAAGAAAGAUUGAUGGGGUGGAAGUUCAAGUGCUUAGUUGAGCUUUGCUUUGUAAAUAGUUUCAUACCAGGGUGGAAUCCAUUUGAAGCCAGACAUACUCCUGAUAUCUCCGGCAUAAGCUACAUGGAUUCCACACUUGGUUUCAUAUAACGUGGAAUUGGAUUAAUAUAAAUUCUCCUUGAUUGUGUUAAAUUGCAACUUACAAUAACAACAGGUAGAGGCAUGCAGAAGAUAGAUAAUCAGUAUUGAGGUGUGUUGAGUACAAUAAAAACUUGGCACAAACAGUUUUGUGUUUCAUUUUGUGUUUUACUAGUAAUUCGAAAGAAUCCACUUCCAUCUAAACAAUACUGCGCAACAGCUGUAUACUAUGUACACUAGAUAAUUUCUACACCAUAAAAAAGAAUUUAUGUAGUUCAUCAACACAUGUAUAAUGUAGCAGCUUAUAUAUUGGCCACUUAAAAUGACAUUGAUUUGGUGUAGUUAAAAGAAAAGUUGAGAAUGAACCAAUAGAGCUUACGGAACUCGCCAUUGCAGGGGCUGUUUUUCCUACCACACUUCCUGUCAUUUGCUUGGUCCAGCUUUUAAAGUCUGUGCAUGCUCUACAUGGCUUACCAUCCGGGCCUAAAACAAUUGGAGGCUCGGUGCCACCAGGGCUCCCCUUUAUCUGGCUACCAGAUGCAGUGGAUUCCUUUACAAAAUUAUCUGAAUUUUGAGUGUUUUGGUUCAUUUAGGUUAAACUGGAAUAAGUCCCUCAACCAUUUGCUCAGAAUUUCAUCAGCCUGAGUGUUCCACUUAAUGAACUCGAUUUGAAGGAGAGGCUAGGUUUAUCACAGGGCGUCCAUAUAUGUACUUGUCCAGCGUACAAAAUGGCGUCAAGAAUCAGAUUAUUGGGUGGAAAGUUGAAAUCAUUCUGGGAGGAACAGCCAGUUCUUUUCAUUUCAAUUCUUAUGGGAAUAUCAGGACCACCUAUGGUGUACUUUAGUCCAUUAACCUAUAAACAAGUAGAAGAAACAUCCAAAAUACCUACAACCUAUCCUUGGGAUCUUGUGAAAGAUUGGAAAAGAAAAGAAAAGGCAGAAACAGUCUGAUACAGAUGCCACUAAGAAUGUCAAAUUACUACUUCUUCAGCAGAGAGACUUUUGAACUAACUAUGUCUGAUUGAAGGUGUAGGUGAAACCAACCUUGUUUCAUUUAAAUGUUUUGUGUUUGCAAAGAAAUAUGAGUCAGUUUGUGAAUGGCAUAUGCCUUAAUUAUGUAUUG